GAUGAACGCUGGCGGCGUGCCUAAUACAUGCAAGUCGAGCGAACGGACGAGAAGCUUGCUUUUCUGAUGUUAGCGGCGGACGGGUGAGUAACACGUGGAUAACCUACCUAUAAGACUGGGAUAACUUCGGGAAACCGGAGCUAAUACCGGAUAAUAUUUUGAACCGCAUGGUUCAAAAGUGAAAGACGGUCUUGCUGUCACUUAUAGAUGGACCCGCGCUGCAUUAGCUAGUUGGUAAGGUAACGGCUUACCAAGGCAACGAUGCAUAGCCGACCUGAGAGGGUGAUCGGCCACACUGGAACUGAGGCACGGUCCAGACUCCUACGGGAGGCAGCAGUAGGGAAUCUUCCGCAAUGGGCGAAAGCCUGACGGAGCAACGCCGCGUGAGUGAUGAAGGUCUUCGGAUCGUAAAACUCUGUUAUUAGGGAAGAACAUAUGUGUAAGUAACUGUGCACAUCUUGACGGUACCUAAUCAGAAAGCCACGGCUAACUACGUG
rnacentral:rRNA from 1 species